rnacentral:rRNA from 1 species
GCUGACAUAAGUAACGAUAAAGCGGGUGAAAAGCCCGCUCGCCGGAAGACCAAGGGUUCCUGUCCAACGUUAAUCGGGGCAGGGUGAGUCGACCCCUAAGGCGAGGCCGAAAGGCGUAGUCGAUGGGAAACAGGUUAAUAUUCCUGUACUUGGUGUUACUGCGAAGGGGGGACGGAGAAGGCUAUGUUAGCCGGGCGACGGUUGUCCCGGUUUAAGCAUGUAGGCUGGUUAUCCAGGCAAAUCCGGAUAACCAAGGCUGAGGUGUGAUGACGAGGCACUACGGUGCUGAAGUAACAAAUGCCCUGCUUCCAGGAAAAGCCUCUAAGCAUCAGGUAACAUCAAAUCGUACCCCAAACCGACACAGGUGGUCAGGUAGAGAAUACCAAGGCGCUUGAGAGAACUCGGGUGAAGGAACUAGGCAAAAUGGUGCCGUAACUUCGGGAGAAGGCACGCUGGUGUGUAGGUGAAGUCCCUGCGGAUGGAGCUGAGACCAGUCGAAGAUACCAGCUGGCUGCAACUGUUUAUUAAAAACACAGCACUGUGCAAACACGAAAGUGGACGUAUACGGUGUGACGCCUGCCCGGUGCCGGAAGGUUAAUUGAUGGGGUUAUCCGUAAGGAGAAGCUCUUGAUCGAAGCCCCGGUAAACGGCGGCCGUAACUAUAACGGUCCUAAGGUAGCGAAAUUCCUUGUCGGGUAAGUUCCGACCUGCACGAAUGGCGUAAUGAUGGCCAGGCUGUCUCCACCCGAGACUCAGUGAAAUUGAACUCGCUGUGAAGAUGCAGUGUACCCGCGGCAAGACGGAAAGACCCCGUGAACCUUUACUAUAGCUUGACACUGAACAUUGAGCCUUGAUGUGUAGGAUAGGUGGGAGGCUUUGAAGCGUGGACGCCAGUCUGCGUGGAGCCAACCUUGAAAUACCACCCUUUAAUGUUUGAUGUUCUAACGUUGGCCCCUGACCGGGGUUGCGGACAGUGUCUGGUGGGUAGUUUGACUGGGGCGGUCUCCUCCCAAAGCGUAACGGAGGAGCACGAAGGUUAGCUAAUCCUGGUCGGACAUCAGGAGGUUAGUGCAAUGGCAUAAGCUAGCUUGACUGCGAGCGUGACGGCGCGAGCAGGUGCGAAAGCAGGUCAUAGUGAUCCGGUGGUUCUGAAUGGAAGGGCCAUCGCUCAACGGAUAAAAGGUACUCCGGGGAUAACAGGCUGAUACCGCCCAAGAGUUCAUAUCGACGGCGGUGUUUGGCACCUCGAUGUCGGCUCAUCACAUCCUGGGGCUGAAGUAGGUCCCAAGGGUAUGGCUGUUCGCCAUUUAAAGUGGUACGCGAGCUGGGUUUAGAACGUCGUGAGACAGUUCGGUCCCUAUCUGCCGUGGGCGCUGGAGAAUUGAGGGGGGCUGCUCCUAGUACGAGAGGACCGGAGUGGACGCAUCACUGGUGUUCGGGUUGUCAUGCCAAUGGCACUGCCCGGUAGCUAAAUGCGGAAGAGAUAAGUGCUGAAAGCAUCUAAGCACGAAACUUGCCCCGAGAUGAGUUCUCCCUGAGACUAUAAGUCUCCUGAAGGAACGUUGAAGACGACGACGUUGAUAGGCCGGGUGUGUAAGCGCAGCGAUGCGUUGAGCUAACCGGUACUAAUGAACCGUGAGGCUUAACCUU